rnacentral:rRNA from 1 species
GUACAGAGGGUGCGAGCGUUAAUCGGAAUUACUGGGCGUAAAGCGUGCGUUAGACGGUUUCGUAAGUCGGGUGUGAAAAUCCCCGGGCUCAACCUGGGAAUUGCAUUCGAAACUGCGAGGCUAGGGUACGGAAGAGGGAAGCGGAAUUUCUGGUGUAGCGGUGAAAAUGCGUAGAUAUCAGAAGGAACACCAAUGGCGAAGGCAGCUCGCUGGGACGGUACUGACGCUGGAGACGCGAAAGCGUGGGGAGCAAACAGG